CAGUGUUUUUUGAAGUGAAGUGAAUUUGGUGCUGAAGAGAACAGAUACAAAAAUGAGGCAAGCAAUCGUUGGAGAGGAUCCAGCAAACCACUGCCUCACCCAGUCAUGAUUUCAAGGUUAAGGCAACGUGAGAGCUGUCUGCUGUGAGAGCCUGAUGGUAGCUAUAGGUCUUCUGCAAUGAAGAGUGAUAAAAUGAUUCAUGGGAAGAUUCAUGGGAACGUGUGGAGUGUGACCUAUUGACAACAACAACCUGUACAACCCUGUCCCAGUCCAAGAUCACCUAUGUCUUUGUCAUUCCUUGACAGAAAACUGUUGAAUCUGUUUCUGGAUGCUGAAUGAUGUCUGUAGGUACUGUGUUCUAAUUUCAAAAUUUUUCCUUGUAUCUAAUAUUGCUACAAGUCAAACUCUCUAUUACAUGUCCUGUCUGCGUUGCUGCAGUUAUUUUAGAUAUCUGAAGACACUUACGCUGCUUUGUUUCAGUCUCUCCUUCUGGAUCAUGAUUUGUAAAUGUCCCAUAUGUUUCACUGUCCUGAAAACUCUUUGGUCCACUUCUUCAGUGGACUUCCAAAGCUGAUGGAGUACUCUAGUUAAAACCUCGGUGUUGAGUAAGAAUAUUGUUUAGUAUGUGCAGAAAUGCCAUUUAUCAAACUUAGUGUCUUUCCCUUUUUCAUAAUACAUCUUUGAUUUCA
rnacentral:lncRNA from 1 species